UACAGAGGCCCCGAGCGUUACUGAGAAUCACUGGGUUUAAAGGGUGCGUAGGUGGCGCGUUAAGUCCGUUGUGAAAUCCCUUGGCUCAACCAAGGAAAUGCUUCGGAUACUGGCGUGCUUGAGGCCGGUAAGGGUCACUGGAACUGACGGUGGAGCGGUGAAAUGCGUAGAUAUCGUCAGGAACGCCAAUGGUGAAGACAGGUGACUGGGCUAGUUCUGACACUGAGGCACGAAAGCGUGGGGAGCGAACGGG
rnacentral:rRNA from 1 species